rnacentral:rRNA from 1 species
GACGUAGGGCGCGAGCGUUGUCCGGAUUUAUUGGGCGUAAAGCGCACGUAGGCGGACUCUUAAGUCGGUGGUGAAAUCCUGGAGCUCAACUCCAGAACUGCCUUCGAUACUGAGAGUCUCGAGUCCGGGAGAGGUGAGUGGAACUGCGAGUGUAGAGGUGAAAUUCGUAGAUAUUCGCAAGAACACCAGUGGCGAAGGCGGCUCACUGGCCCGGUACUGACGCUGAGGUGCGAAAGCGUGGGGAGCAAACAGG